AACGAACGCUGGCGGCAUGCCUAACACAUGCAAGUCGAACGAGACCUUCGGGUCUAGUGGCGCACGGGUGCGUAACGCGUGGGAACUUCCCCUUGGGUUCGUAUUAACUCCCGGAAGGGGGUCCUACUACCGCAUAAUUCCUCCGGCCAAAAGUUUAAUGGCGUUAGGAUGGGCCCGUGUUGGCUUGGCCGGUGGGUAGGGUAAAAGCCUACCAAGGCAACGAUCGAUAGCUGGUCUGAGAGGAGGAUCAGCCACACUGGGACUGGGAAACGGCCCAGACUCCUACGGGAGGCAGCAGUGGGGAAUAUUGGACAAUGGGCGGAAGCCUGAUCCAGCAAUGCCGCGUGAGUGAUGAAGGCCUUAGGGUUGUAAAGCUCUUUUACCCGGGAUGAUAAUGACAGUACCGGGAGAAUAAGCUCCGGCUAACUCCGUG
rnacentral:rRNA from 1 species